GCCGGGAAGACAGGUCAGGUUAUUUACAGAGCAGGAUGUUGCACCCCACCCUUGAGGAUUUCACCCAGGGUGUUGUAACAGCCGUUAGGGGAAGCGGAGCCAGAGGCCCCGGGGCGUGGUGCCCCUGGGUCCUAACGGAGGGUCUAUCACAGUCAGACUGCCUGAAUCCUGUCCCCUUAUUUUGAAGCUACUUGAGAAUGAAAAGCUUGAAUGACUUCAUCGCCAAAAACAAAGAGGGGAGAAGAUCCGGAAUGAUUGAAAAGAUCCAAGUAGCUUUUUCUUCUGUACUGCUUUCCCCUGCGUCCCUGCUGAGGACCCCGGGAUUUAUGUUUUGGACAGAUCUAACAGAAAGAUAAACAAAUGGGAAAAUACAGAAUUGAAGAAAUUAUUGGAGAAACUAGAAGUAUUGUGAACAGAGAAAAAACAAGACGUGACAACAAAUUUGAUACGUAGGGCGACACUGAAGAAUUCCAGAUGAUGCUGACUUGGAAGAUGGCAGUACCCUUGAUGGAAAA